rnacentral:miRNA from 1 species
CUUGGACUCCUGUGGUCCAAGAGAUCGGGACUGUAUAUAUAUAUUAUAUAAUAUAUAUAGGUAUGUUAAAACAAUAAUAUAUAUGUAUAUAUAAUAUAUCAGUCCUGAUCUCUUGGACCCCUGUAGUCCAAG